rnacentral:rRNA from 1 species
GGCUCAGGACGAACGCUGGCGGCGCGCCUAAUACAUGCAAGUCGAGCGAGAAGGUGUAGCAAUACACUUGUAAAGCGGCGAACGGGUGAGGAAUACAUGGGUAAUCUACCAUCGAGUGGGGAAUAACCAGCCGAAAGGUUGGCUAAUACCGCGUACGCCUCCGGAUCUUCGGGUUCGGAGGGAAAGCCGCACUGUGAGUGCGGCGCUCUUUGAUGAGCUCAUGUCCUAUCAGCUUGUUGGUAGGGUAACGGCCUACCAAGGCUUUGACGGGUAGCUGGUCUGAGAGGACGAUCAGCCACACUGGCACUGCGACACGGGCCAGACUCCUACGGGAGGCAGCAGUAAGGAAUAUUGCGCAAUGGGCGAAAGCCUGACGCAGCGACGCCGCGUGGGGGAUGAAGGUCUUCGGAUUGUAAACCCCUUUCGGGAGGGAAGAUGGAACGAGCAAUCGUUCGGACGGUACCUCCAGAAGCAGCCACGGCCAACUUCGUGCCAGCAGCCGCGGUAAUACGAAGGUGGCAAGCGUUGUUCGGAUUCACUGGGCGUACAGGGUGUGUAGGCGGUUUGGUAAGCCUUCUGUUAAAGCUUCGGGCCCAACCCGGAAAGCGCAGAGGGUACUGCCAGGCUAGAGGGUGGGAGAGGAGCGCGGAAUUCCCGGUGUAGCGGUGAAAUGCGUAGAGA